CCCAUAGUUUGAGAAAAGCUGCAGAUCAUAGACAGAGACAAAGCAUAAUGCUCUGAGAACAGUAGCCAAGGGCCUUUCUGCAGAAACAACAAGUGCCUUGAUGCGCGCACCCCCGCUUUCACUUUGACUCCCUGCAU